UACAGAGGUCUCAAGCGUUGUUCGGAUUCAUUGGGCGUAAAGGGUGUGUAGGUGGCGCGCUAAGUCGGGUGUGAAAUUUCGGAGCUUAACUCCGAAACUGCAUUCGAUACUGGCGUGCUUGAGGACUGGAGAGGAGACUGGAAUUUACGGUGUAGCAGUGAAAUGCGUAGAUAUCGUAAGGAAGACCAGUGGCGAAGGCGGCCUGCUGGGCAGUUUCUGACACUGAGGCGCGACAGCGUGGGGAGCAAACAGG
rnacentral:rRNA from 1 species